GGAGCUGUGCCUGAAGCUAAAGGACCACUUUGAUAGAGUGAAACAUGAGGGUUAAAGUCCCUCCACCUCCUU
rnacentral:tRNA from 1 species